CACCGCGGUUAUACGAGAGGCCCAAGUUGACAGAAAUCGGCGUAAAGAGUGGUUAAUAAGUACUAAACUAAAGCCGAACACCUUCAGGACUGUCAUACGCGCCCGAAGGCAGGAAGCCCCCCAACGAAAGUGGCUUUAAAAACCAUGACUCCACGAAAGCUAGGAAA
rnacentral:rRNA from 3 species